rnacentral:lncRNA from 1 species
CAGAUGUCAACGUUGUGGCAAGAACUCAACUUGAGCACCGAAGAAGCAUGGGAUUGCGCAGGCGACAGUGCUCGAUUUAAAAAAAGGCUGGAAAACGAAAGGGUCUUCGAAUUCUUGGCCGGACUGAAUCGCGACCUAGAUGAGGUGAGGGGACGAAUCCUUGGCCGGAAACCCUUACUGUCGACGAGGGAAGUGUUCGCAGAGGUCAGACGAGAAGAAAGCCGGAGAAAAAUUAUGUUGGAGAUGACCGGAGGUCCUUCAGGCGUGGGUGGAUCGAUUUCGACGAGUGAAUCUUCAGCCCUAUUGUCAAAAGGAAUUGGGUCAUCUACCGGGUCGGCUAUUGGGCCAUCUAACGGUGGGCUAAAAGGCAAUGGGCUGGGCCUUUUAAAAUAUGGCCCAGGAAAUCCUAAUUUUGGGUCAACAAAUGGGCCUGAGAAUACGGGCUUUUAUUUAAAAGGAACGACAAAUGGGUCAGACCCAAGGCAGCAAAAAGGACGACCUUGGUGUGAGCAUUGCCGUAAACCAGGACAUAACGAAGACACGUGUUGGGAUUUGCAUGGAAAACCCGCCAACUGGAAGCCUAGACAAAGUAAUAAAUACCGUGGAAAUCAGGCAUCAAUUGACUAUCAAGGAGGAAAGUCCAAGGAAUCAAGUGGUGCAUUUAAUGCCGAGCAGAUGGAACAGCUCUACAAAAUGUUUUCUAGCCUACAAUCAUCAAACCAAACCAAUAACCCGUCAAGUUCACUAGCGCACAAAGGUAAUUUUUUGAGGGCCUUAAAAUCUGCCACUCAACCAAAAACACCCUGGAUCAUUGACUCAGGAGCCUCGGACCACAUGACAGACUCCUAACACUUAUUCUCAUCUUACUCCCCAUGUGCCGGUAAUCUCAAGGUUAAAAUUGCAGAUGGAUCUCUGUCCACCAUAGCAAGAAAAUGGACUAUUCAAAUCUCUAAUUCUAUAACCUUGGAAUCUGUUCUUCAUGUUCCUAAUCUAUCUUGCAAUUUACUGUCUAUAAGUCAGUUAACAAAAUCCUCACAUUGUUCUGCUAAAUUUUUCCCAUCUUACUGUAUUUUUCAGGACCUAUCAUCGGGGAAGACGAUUGGCAGUGCUAAAGAAAGUGAAGGACUCUAUUACUUUGACAAGGCAGAUGUGGGUGAAUAGUGUCAAAUUAAAAUUUGUGAUUCUGCGUCUAUUCUUAGAAAUAGCGAAAUUAUGUUAUGGCAUUUUAGAAUGGGA